CCUACGGGAGGCAGCAGUCGAGAAUUAUUCACAAUGGGGGAAACCCUGAUGGUGCGACGCCGCGUGGGGGAAUGAAGGUCUUCGGAUUGUACACCCCUGUCAUGUGGGAGCAAAUUAAAAAGAUAGUACCACAAGAGGAAGAGACUGCUAACUCUGUGCCAGCAGCCGCGGUAAUACAGAGGUCUCAAGCGUUGUUCGGAAUCACUGGGCGUAAAGCGUGCGUAGGCUGUUUCGUAAGUCUUGUGUGAAAGGCGCGGGCUCAACCCGCGGACGGCACAUGAUACUGCGAGACUAGAGUAAUGGAGGGGGAACCGGAAUUCUCGGUGGAGCAGUGAAAUGCGUAGAUAUCGAGAGGAACACUCGUGGCGAAGGCGGGUUCCUGGACAUUAACUGACGCUGAGGCACGAAGGCCAGGGGAGCGAAAGGGAUUAGAUACCCGAGUAGUC
rnacentral:rRNA from 1 species